rnacentral:rRNA from 1 species
UAAGGUGAUUAUUGCAAUGGGGCUCACCUCUUACCAUUCCGAACAGAGAAGUUAAGCCCAUUUGCGCCGAUGGUACUGCCAAUGGUGGGAGAGUAGGUCGUUGCCUUUC